AGCUGCUCUAGAAUGUAGCAAUGGUGGGCUCCUUUGGGGGCCAUCUAGAAGGGCCCUGCCCCUGGGCACCUGCCUCCUCACUGGAGGAGACCAGAGGCCACGUCCCAGCCCUGUGCUUCCAGCUCUGGAACUGCCCUUGACUUCACUGGACAGGCCUGAGCAAGUCGUGUAACCUUCAGGGACUCAGCUAUGCCCACUCCAGGCUCUGUGAAACCAAGACAACCUCACGUGCUCAAUUCCUCAGCUCUGCAGGAGCCAGGCUGCUCUGGGUUGCAAGUGGAUGGCAAGCUUCCUUGUGACUUCUCAUCCUGGCAAUUUUCUGGAGUGUUUGUGAUUGGACUUUAACAUUUCCAAAAUGUGGCGACAGUGACUGUUAAGUCUUCCUGAGACGAGAGUUCCUGGGAGCCUCAGGGUAAGUGGCAUACUAAGGCUGCAAGCAUCAGGACAGCAGAGACCAGAUUCAUCACUGAAUCCUCAACAUCUAGCACAAUAUUCCUGGCAUAUGGUGAAGAGAGGAAGAGUAUGAACUACCACUAAACUCAUUUCCCUCCAUCCUUCAAUCAAAUGCAAUGACCUUCAGCUACUCUCACCAUUCUCUACUGAAAACAUGCCAACUAUCUGGACAGAACUCACCUAAAGUUCCCCAACAUCAAAUAAACCACGUUCCAAAAGAUUCAGAGCCAGACAGAAACAAAAUGCCCUUUGUUGAUGAAGCAUUUACUCAUACAUACAUACGUGUGUGUGUAUAUAUAUAUAUAUGUGU
rnacentral:lncRNA from 1 species